rnacentral:rRNA from 1 species
ACGAACGCUGGCGGCGUGCUUAACACAUGCAAGACGAACGGAAAGGCCCUGCUUUUGUGGGGUGCUCGAGUGGCGAACGGGUGAGUAACACGUGAGUAACCUGCCCUUGACUUUGGGAUAACUUCAGGAAACUGGGGCUAAUACCGGAUAGGAGCUCCUGCUGCAUGGUGGGGGUUGGAAAGUUUCGGCGGUUGGGGAUGGACUCGCGGCUUAUCAGCUUGUUGGUGGGGUAGUGGCUUACCAAGGCUUUGACGGGUAGCCGGCCUGAGAGGGUGACCGGCCACAUUGGGACUGAGAUACGGCCCAGACUCCUACGGGAGGCAGCAGUGGGGAAUAUUGCACAAUGGGCGGAAGCCUGAUGCAGCAACGCCGCGUGCGGGAUGACGGCCUUCGGGUUGUAAACCGCUUUCGCCUGUGACGAAGCGUGAGUGACGGUAAUGGGUAAAGAAGCACCGGCUAACUACGUG